rnacentral:rRNA from 1 species
AGGGUUUGAUCAUGGCUCAGAACGAACGCUGGCGGCAGGCCUAACACAUGCAAGUCGAGCGCGCCUUUCGAGGUGAGCGGCGGACGGGUUAGUAACGCGUGGGAAUAUACCCUUUUCUACGGAAUAGCCUCUGGAAACGGAGAGUAAUACCGUAUGAGCCCUUCGGGGGAAAGAUUUAUCGGGAAAGGAUUAGCCCGCGUUAGAUUAGGUAGUUGGUGGGGUAAUGGCCUACCAAGCCUACGAUCUAUAGCUGGUUUUAGAGGAUGAUCAGCAACACUGGGACUGAGACACGGCCCAGACUCCUACGGGAGGCAGCAGUGGGGAAUCUUGGACAAUGGGGGCAACCCUGAUCCAGCCAUGCCGCGUGAGUGAUGAAGGCCUUAGGGUCGUAAAGCUCUUUCGCCUGUGAAGAUAAUGACGGUAGCAGGUAAAGAAACCCCGGCUAACUCCGUGCCAGCAGCCGCGGUAAUACGGAGGGGGUUAGCGUUGUUCGGAAUUACUGGGCGUAAAGCGCACGUAGGCGGACUGGAAAGUUGGGGGUGAAAUCCCAGGGCUCAACCCUGGAACUGCCUCCAAAACUAUCAGUCUAGAGUUCGAGAGAGGUGAGUGGAAUUCCGAGUGUAGAGGUGAAAUUCGUAGAUAUUCGGAGGAACACCAGUGGCGAAGGCGGCUCACUGGCUCGAUACUGACGCUGAGGUGCGAAAGUGUGGGGAGCAAACAGGAUUAGAUACCCUGGUAGUCCACACCGUANACGAUGAAU